rnacentral:rRNA from 1 species
UUCAGUGAUUAUGGAGAAGGGGGUACACCCGGUCCCAUUCCGAACCCGGAAGUUAAGCCCUUCAUCGCCGAGAGUACUGCGGUGUAGUCCGUGGGAGGGUAGGACGUCGCUGACC